GCCAGUGACCAGAACUUCCAACAGCAACCCCCUCCCCAUCCCCCCCCCACACACACUUGUGCCAGGGACUGAGCGGUCCUGCCCUAUGAGGGCUGGCUUCAUGACACAAGUCUGGUCAAUGAGACAAAGGGGAUGUCUGCUGAGGAUUCUCAGAAAAGAUUUGCCUUGUCCUCUUCUUCUGGUCUUGAACCUAGAUGUGCUGACUGAAGGUGACACCAAAGACCUGCUCUGCCCCCUCAUGACCUGUGACAUGGCACUACCACGCGUAGAAGGACGUUAACGCACAGAUAUAAUUAACAUGCUCCGUAUUUUCUUAUGUGCUCAACAAUAUUGUAAGAGCUGCCCUAUUUAUUGGGCCCACAUUGUGGGGUUAAUUACCAGUCAAGUCUUCAUGGAAUAAUUAUGGGGACCCAUCACUUAUAUACCUCACCCCAGUAGAGAUUCCAUUCUCCUCCAUUCUGAUAACGUUAGCUCCUGGAACAAGUUAAUGUGCCUUGUCAUCAACAUAUGGUUUCUCUGCUCCUUUCCGUUUUGUGUGAAGCUGCAGACCAGAGAUGGGGUCUUCUGGAAGAAACAUCGAAGGACAUAAAGGGAUACAGGGAAUAGACACACGAUUACAGACUUCCGUAGAAUAAGCUGAUGUGACCACGGAGCAGACACCUCACUGUCGGUCAAUCCCUGGAUUCCAUCCCCCAAAAACCUCCUUCUCCCCCAGUGCUGUUCAUCCCAGUCAUCAGGACCAUCAUUCACCCUGUUGUUCAGAUCAAACCCGUGGAGUCGCCUGACUCCUGUCCUUAUCUCAUCCAAUCCACCAGCUCUGCCAUCAAAAUAGAAUCUCUCAAGUCCAAGCCAUCACCCUCUCUUGCCUGGAUAUUCCGAUAACCUUGUAAGUGCCCCGUGCCUCUUCUGUCCUUGGCCUUUAAUGGACUCUGUUCCAAAUAGCAGCCAGUGCUCCUUUUAGAACUUAGCUCAUGGCCUCUGGUUGGAACCUUCCAACUGCUUCAUAGGUCACUCAGAGGAAAAUCCAAAGUCCUUACCGUGGCCUUCAAGGCCCUCCCUGACCUGGCUCCUCUAACUUUCUGUCCUCAUUUCCUAACACUCAGCCCCUUGCUCACUCCACAUCAGCCAGGCACACUAGCCUCCUUGCUGUUCCUCAAACACACCCGGCAUUCUCCAGUCCUGGGUCCUUUGCACUUGCUCUCCCGUUUCCCUGGAAUUCUUUGCCACAAACGUGAUAAGUGAAGAUCUCGCUUCCUCUGUUCUUUUGCUCAAGUGGUGACUCUGCCUGCAUCUCCGGCUGUUUCCUCAGUGUACACCCCUCACAGGUGCACUUUGGGUCAACAAAUAUGAAUAUUUAAAACACCUUUGGCAUAAUUUGCAAGAUACUUGCCAGAAGGUUUGUGCAUGUUCACACUGCUGUUAUGAGCAUAAGCAUAUGAUAAUACUAACACUAUAAUCAAAUAUCAACAUAAAAUAAUUUCUCAAAUUUUAUAGAUGACAAAUGUUACCUUGAUCAUUUCAUUUAUAUCUCCUUAAGCUGCUUAUGAAGUUAAGUAU